rnacentral:sRNA from 1 species
GGGGUUGGCCAAGUAAAUAAAUGUUUUCGAGAUAACUGGCGCUUUGUGUGUCGAUUCGCCUUCCUCUCUCUCUCUUCUCCUGUUCCGCCUUAAAUCCUUAAAGAAUCCGAGUCGCAGAGUUUUUUGCACUUUGCAUGCAAACGUUAAAAAUCCGCAGCAUGCCAAUGGGGCAGCUCCAAAAGUCCCCCCUUUGGGCCACGUUUGUGUGUCCUUCUGGCUACGUGACUUUGGCACGCGUCGCGUUCCGUCUGCUGACCCACGGCCAUUUCCCAUUGUUGGUCAUUAAUUUGAAGGCAAGUGUGUUUGGGGCUGAGCCGGCGAACGCGAGCCUUUCGUCACCAAACCGCACGCGUUUAGUGGUAGUAGUUCGUUUGGAAAGUGACAGGGUGACCAACUCAGUAUCUAUGUGGGGUAGCCAAAGGUAUGCCCUGUACUCACUAUUAACCAUUCUAAUGUCAGAAGGAAGCACCCUGUUCGAGGGCAUAUGCUCCGAACACUUUGUCAUCCGACUCACGUAGGGGACGCACGUAUGGCAGAUCCUGAAAGGAUUGUCCGCGCUCCGGUCAAGCUUGGCCCGCCUCGGUCCUUGGCCAUCAGCUCGAUUAGAUGUUGUGGCCUGGCUGCGUCCUUGCGGUCAUGUUUUGUGGAUUCAACCUAGCUGACCGUCUGGUCUGGCUCUUUCCUGGCCGCGACUGUGGGAGUGGUAGUUGGAGCGGGAGUGGGAGGAUUGGGUUGACGAGCGCUCGAAGUGUCGGAGAGCCAGCAAGCGUUAAAAAAUGUUUUAGCAGCGCAUUUUUGAGGUUAACAGCGCGCACGUGCUGGCCAAAAAGGAAAGGGGUUGGCCGGAAGGGCCGGGGGACUUGGCCAAAAGGUGGCGACAAUGGCGUCGAGUGCUGCGAGCACUGGGCCAAAAGAUUUAUCUAGCCUGGCAGUACGUGAUGCCAACAAUUGUGUCAACGGACGGAAUGCCGGAGUGCCGGACUGCCGUGAAAUAUGACGAAUAUGUUCGAGUGUGUUUCGCACACCCAAGUGGAUGUCUUGUAAAUCUCGAUUAAAUCUCCGGCAGACGUGUGCUCCUCGGAAAGACAAAUAAACUGCAAUCGUCGGGGCAUAAAUCCUAAUUCCAUUUUGAUUAUCUGCCUCCGGGGGACGAGUGGCUGUGGGGCAAUCGCUGCAGUUGUCUGGAGGCCCAACAAAUGCCUAAUGUGGCUGGGAGGCAGUGCUAUCUGGAGGCAGUGCUAUCCAUCGGAUGCUCCACUUUCAAAUCCCAGAAGCGCAGCCGGCUCCACAGUCCCCAAAUCCCAAUUUCCCAGGCGAGCAUUAACGAACAUUUCCUUUGCCUGCACAGAGAGAAAGGAUUGAACACCAAUACCUCCUCCACUAGGAUCAAUUCUAUCCAAAAGUGCCUGGUAUCACCAUUCUAUCGAAACCCUUUGGAUAACCGAAAGUCAAGGCAAAACCUGGGCCAUUGAAUCCGUUGCAGCCAUUAACAUUUACGAUUUCACAUCCGGAGGUCAACCCACACUCCCACUCACAAGCAAACCAGAUGUUUGCCAUCGAGGAUUGGAUGUGCAGGAGGAGGAAGCCAGAUUCCCAGCUUCCCAGCUUCCUAGCUUCCCAGAUUGGUAGGCGUUUAACAGGCGAUGGCAGCUGAAACACAUCCUGUGAUAUGUGAAGUGAGGGCAAAUGCAAUGCAAUUCUGGAAAUCGACGAGGACCCUCUCUAUUUGUUUGCAGUUUAUCUGGCACAGGAGUGCUCCUGGUGGCCCGGCGUGAUCCCCUUAGUGAGUCAGUGGGCCGGAAAGCGGCCAAAGACUUGCAGCCAGAUGGGCUUGCGUCUAAAGUUUUGCAUUUUAAUAGCCUCUUAACUGCCGACCAUUUGCACAGUGUUUGCUUAUGUUGCCACAGGUCGGAGGAAGUGAGUGGCGUGGAAGGAGUCCCUGGGCCGAGUCCCUUGGCCAGGUGUGGCUGGCCUGCACCCGAGAUUUGCAUGCGAUUGCAUUUUCAACUUGGCCAAUUUUCGGUUCAUUGUAGGCGCUUAGACUCGUUUCCCCUGGAGUGAACUUGGAUUUGAUUUCGACAUCGCAUCGCAUACGAGAAUGGUAAAUGUCAGUGGGCUUGUGAUGGAAAUUGUUGCCUUUCGUCAGCAAUAGUUUAAUUGUUUCUGCAAUAGUCUGAGGUUGCAUUGCUCAGAUACCAAAGUGAACCACAAACUGGAAGUCAUCAAAUCGCUUUAAAGCAAUUGCUUCAUUAAAAUAAGUUUACUCAA